AACCAUAUUCAUUUAAUCCUGUGAAAGUGGAAUUAUUUAGCCUUGUUUUACAGAUGAGGGCACUACAUUCCAACAAAAAAGCUCAGUAAGAAUUUCGUCGGGGGGUGGGGGGACAUGUUCAAAUCAGAAAGGAUUCUAAAGAGGCACCUUUCCUCAGGUACAAUUCUCUCUCCUUGGUUAUGCUGCACAGUACUUGCUACUUUUUAGUGCUUUUUCAUUCGUCCUUGUUGAUUGAUUUGUCUGUAUGUCUGUCUGCCCUUUGUGAGCUCUUGAAAAUUGGAAGCCAGUCUUGUUCAUCUCUUCAGGAUGCUGCUUAUUCAGUCAACACGCAUUUAUCAAGCGCUGAAGCAGGGCAGAGAUUGUGCUGGGCGCUGAGGAUUCGGUGGUGAACUCUUGGAACAGACAAGUAAAAGGACGAUCAGAAUAAGUGUUAAAUCUUAAGAUGGGGAUAGUUCUAUGGGAGCACCCGUGGAGGGGUGGGGCGAGCAAAUCAGAGAGAAAAGAGUGGUCUGUUAGGGACUGCAAAUAGUUCAGAAGAGCUACAGUGGGGAGUAGUGAGAGAUGAGUGUAGAGCAGAGAUUGGCAAACUUUUUCUAUAAAGAGCCAGAUAGUAAAUAUUUUAGGUUUUGUGGGCCAUACUGGCUGGGUCACAGCCACUCAACUUGUAGCUCAAAAGCAGCCACAGACAGUAUGAAUGGGUGGGGCUGUGUUCUAAUAAAACUUUAUUUAUGGACACUGAAGUUUGAAUUUCAUAUAGUUUUCAGUGUCAUGAAAUAUUCGUCUUUUGAUUUUUUUCAACCGUUUAAAAAUGUGAAAACCUUAAAUUGCAAACUGUACAAAAACAGGCAGUAGGCUGGAUUUGGUUGGGCGGUGGUUUGCCCUCUCCUGAUCUAGAAAGCUAAAAUGGGGCCUCAUGGCCUGUGUUAUGUUAAACAGUUAAGGCUUUGUCUGGAGGACUCUGGGCAGAGUCGUAAAUAGGUUUUAAGCAAAGAUAGGAUGUGCGUAAGAAAGAUUUUAACCGAGCCAGGGCUCAUUCUGCUUGCCACAACCUUGAAGCCAGUCAGUUGCAAGAGGAGCCGGUGGUGGAAAAAGGGAUCUAUUUGAUUAGCCAGCAUAAUUGGAAGAUGGUGGGCUCAUGUCCGAAAGACCAUCUUAAACAAGCACAAAGUUUAAGCAGUUAUAUAGGGCUGUGGGCUAUGAAGGAGGGACUCAGGAAUGUUGACCAUCUGACAUCAGUGACUGGAGGGGCCACACCAGGCCUUUCAGUCGUCAUCGAUCGUGGAUGCCAACACAGAUGUUCUUCUCUGAGGAGGUCGUCAUAUUCCUAAGAAACUCAUAAGAACAAAGUCAUCAUCUAUCAGUACAAGGAGGUACAUGCGUCAGCCAGGAUUAUAAAAUCUGCAGAGUGUGCAUAUUUCCCAGAGGGUAACUAUUUAUCACCUAGGCUAUGUGCAAGUUAAAACAUAUACAGCUGAGUGGGUUGGUUAGAGGUUUUUCUAAGUUACAGUAUGGCUUCCGUCAUGUCAACCUUGCUUCAGGCCUGUAUCAAGAUGAGUGUUAGAAAGAACUCUAACUGUUAAGUGGUAAAUGAAUUGUGGAGGUUGCAGGUAGAGGCUCAGAGACCAAGCAGGAGUCUGGGUGAUAGUCUAAAGUAAUAGCAGUGGAAUGGACGGACAGAUUCAAGAGGUGAUAGAGGUAGAAUUGAUAGGAUUUAGAGAUUGGUGAGGGUGGGGGAAAGUCAAGAGUCAAAGCUAAUUUCUAGGCUUUGGAUUUGAAGAAUUGGGUGGCAUUUGGUGGUGCCAUUGAUUCAGCUGAGAGGAUUAGAGGGGUUUUUGAAGAGAAGGGGAGACUACUUAAAUUUUGGACAUGUGGAUUUUGAAGUGUCUUUGGAAAAUGCAGGCUUGGAACUAUGGAUCUGGAAAUUGUGCUGAUUUGGUUUUAAAGAAGAGAUUGAAUGGCAGUGAUAGUGCAUGUAUUUACUUAUGAAUACAAUCAUUUUUUGGCAGAAUCUUCUGCUGCUCUGGGAGCCAGUUAGACUUGGAAGACCACGGAAGAACUUGACAGCAGAUAAGGGCAGAACUUCAUGGUCAUCCCUCGCUGUCACUCCUAGCUGUCUCCAUAGGGCUUCCCUUUGAUUGCUUGAUCGUUCAAGGAAAAUGUAGGGCCCUGCGGCAGUGUUAUGAGGUGUCCAGCUUUGGGUGCCUGCAUUCUUCUAGAUAGUUAAAAGAAGUUGUCACAGCUGGGUUUUUUAUUUUUUAAGAAAACAUCAAUUACUUAACAAGUCUCGUCAUGUUGAAUGAAGUUAAGCAGAGGAAGACAAAGGAAGAGAAUCACGGGAGAACAGCCAGGGUUGUGAUUGAGCUGUGCCUGAACAUGACCCCUCCUCUCUACUGUCAAAUGACAAAAAUAAAACAAUUUAGCAACGAG